AUUGCUGGCAUGGUUUUCCAAAUGUAAAAAAUCAUUUCUCCUACAACGUUACUGUGACAUGAAAUAAAUGGGAUGACCCUCGACAGACGCAUUGAAGCUCGUGCUGCAUUGCUGUCCUACCCGCGAAGGGUCGGUGGCACAACGGCGAUGGCGCAGCGCUGGGGCCUCGGGUGUCUUUACAAGCUCAUCGCUUUCCGCGUUUAGAAACGGCCCCAGCAACGUUAAGCGGUGAAAGUUUAUCGCCUCCUGCCACCAUCUUUCUAUGUCGCUCAGCACCGGAAACAAUACAUUUCACAUUUGCGCACUUCAUAGCGACGCACCGCUUGCGUGCGUCUCCCCGCCAGCGACACGCAAUCGCACUUUCCCUUCGAACGCGUUUUUCACGAAUGACGAAAAAGAGAAUCUGAAACUUUCACACCAUUUCCUUCUCUUGCUCUCAUGUGCCGAGAUGCGCUAAUAUACCGGAAAGAUGAGGGGGGCGGGGUGGGAGUAGCCGAGAUUUUUCAUGAAGAUCGAGACAAACAUCUCCAGCACAUCGUUCUCCAAAGUCACCGAGACAGAGAGUGUGACUCCGGGACAGUGAUGGUACAGAGCGGAACAAGGAGCGGCAGACCGUCCGUCGCAUCCGUCGACCCGCAGCGCCUACCGUUCUCCGUCACUUCUAGCGCGUUACGCUUACCUGCUUUGCCUUGGAUACCAUCUUACUAAAAUAUGGCUUAGAUAACCCUCUUUCCUGACUGCAAUUCUCCCUCAUGCUAGAGCCACUCAGCUGGAGCAGCAUAACUGUGGCUCCUCACGGUGGGAAACCGUUUUAAUCGGACGUCCGUAGGGCCUGGGAGACCGAAGGGACAACAACAUUCGGUAAGGUGGCCGAAGGCAACACAUUCGCCGUGUAAUUCCUUCUGCGUUCUUUUCCCCACAGCUUCAUUUAUUGCACUCAAAAUUAUGAGCUAUCUCACUAGUCUCACAAUCGAAAUCUACAUACAGUUGAGAAAUAGACGAGCCUUAUGUAUGUUUGCCUUUUCUCGUAUUUCAAAGUCCUGCAGCUUUUAGAGACACAUCUUGUAAAUAAAGUGUCAGCGAAGCCAGGACUGGCAAAAGGCCCAUCGGCCUCGGACAGGACACCGUCUCUCUGUGUACACCACUUUACAAUAAUUGGUUGGGUUUUAUUAUUAUUUUGCACUUGCUUUGUGUAUUUUAUUACAAAAUAUUAACAAAGAGACUGAAAGAUGUCUGAGGGACGCGUUCAGAUGAAGGGCUCAAUAGAGCAAAACAAGUAGUGUUACAGCACAGAUUAAGUACAUUCAUUUCAGAGAACGUUUCAU